rnacentral:rRNA from 1 species
CCCUACGGGGCGCAGCAGGCGCGAAAACUUUACAAUGCAGGCAACCGCGAUAGGGGAACAUCGAGUGAUCCUCAUAUUGGGGGUCUGUCCCACCGUCUAAAAAACGGUGGUUAGCAAGGGCCGGGCAAGACCGGUGCCAGCCGCCGCGGUAAUACCGGCGGCUCGAGUGGUGGCCGAUAUUAUUGAGUCUAAAGGGUCCGUAGCCGGCUUUGCAAGUCUCUCGGGAAAUCCAGCGGCUUAACCGUUGGUCGUCCGGGGGGUACUACAUUGCUUGGGACUGGGAGAGGUAGGAGGUACUCAGGGGGUAGUGAGUGAAACCC